UCCUUGGUAGUAUAGUGGUGAGUAUCCGUGCCUGUCAUGCGCGAGACCCGGGUUCGAUUCCGGGCCCGGGGG
rnacentral:tRNA from 1 species